UGACAAUUGUAUUGUAAACCAACAGCCCACUCAUUUUGUUCCGAUCUCUUUGUAGUGUGAGGGUAACUGUGCCUUUGGAUCGGAUUGGUAGUUCAUAUUUGUCAAGCAGACACAGAAAGGAUGAACCAGAGGAACACUGGGACCACUACACUGAAUGAUCAGCUAUGGGGACAAGAUAGUUCGACCAACAUCAGCGUGUUUUACAGACUUGGACAAGUUGUAGUCUUAAACUAAAUUAGACUGCCAGCAGGGACUCACUAUUAAAUUCUUCAAAUCUAUGGUUAGGCUUGAUAUGUAUCCCGAAAUCUGUAUGUUAACAGUUUUUAACAUUGUGUGUUACUUUUUAACUUUAUUUUUGCAGCCUUCAUACCUUAUUUAUUACUAUUUAAUAUCGCCCUCUAGUGGUAUUCAAACUGACAAAUCACUGUACUUGUGUGCCUAUACUAAAUAUAAUUUUAACAAAAGCACACUGAUAGAAGACAUUUGUGGCUGAUAUAAUCCCCAAUAAAGAAAAGGCUUUAUUUCUUCCAAUACAGUUAAAGAAACAUCAGAUGCCAAAAAUAUAACAUUUGCUUGGCUUUUCUCUUUGCUUUCAUAUAUGUACAGUUCAAAGGAUAUAAUAUUUACAGAGUAAAAAAAUAGGAGAGGUGGGGGUCAAAGUCUACCUUUUGGGGAUUUCAAGAAACUCCCCCACCUCACCAAUAAACAAAGAAAAUCAACAAACAAAAUAUGCCACAACUCUUGCAGCAUAAACUCUUUUCUGUACACAAGAGAUCUGGACUCCAAACUACUUUCAAAUGUCCUGAAAGAGUUACACAAUGUCUAAUAUUCUGGGUGUGAUCUGAAGCAGUUCUCACAUAAGAGAUUAAAACCCCUUUUACCUUGUUUUUUUAAACAAUAAUUGAACAAAAAGUAAUUACAACUGGGGGUGUUAGCAGAAAGCAGAUGGCUGUUCCA